GACGAACGCUGGCGGCGUGCUUAACACAUGCAAGUCGAGCGGUAAGGCCCUUUCGGGGGUACGACGAGCGGCGAACGGGUGAGUAACACGUGGGUGACCUGCCCUCAGCUCUGGGAUAAGCCUGGGAAACCGGGUCUAAUACUGGAUAUGACUCCAUGACGCAUGUUGUGGGGUGGAAAGCCUUGUGCGGCUGAGGAUGGGCCCG
rnacentral:rRNA from 1 species